GACUGGACAAGGGAAGUCAUCCCAGCAGGGAGAACCUGAGGCAGCCAGAUUGGCUCAGCAAAGAAUUCACUCUACUCUAAUUAAAACUGCUACAAGGUAUUUUUGGAGAUGAGAACACAGACAGAAAGAAGGGUUUAAGAUUGCCAGCAAACCAUGAGAAGCUAGGAGAAAGGAAUGGAACCGCUUCUCCUUCACAUUCCUCAGAAGGAACCAACCCUGCAGACACCUUGAUCUUGGACUUCAAGCCUCCAGAACUAGCAAAGGCUGUGUGAAGAAAUGGCGAGAAGGUGGCCAUCUGCAACCCAAGGAGAGAGCCGUCACUACACACUGACCCUGCUGGUACCUGGAUCCUAAACAUCCAGUCUCCAGAGCUGUGCG
rnacentral:lncRNA from 1 species